rnacentral:lncRNA from 1 species
CUCAACUCCACAUCAAUAAGCUCAAUACAAUACAAGAAAGUAGGAACUACAUCUACAAACUCAUUAUUCAUCAUAACUUCGACAUUUCUCAUUUCAUUGGAGGAAUUACCUUCUGCAACUCAUAUGAUUCUCAUCACAACAUCAUUAUGCAAUUUCUUCAUAAAAGAACAUUUAGGUAUGUUCAACAAUUAACCUCAUGAAGC